CAAGAUACUGGCAUGGCAGUCUGAAGCCAGCAAGCACCAGACACUUUGUCCACUGAUGUCAUCACUCCAUCAGAGAAGGCCACCAUAUUGGUUGGACACGACCUUCCCUUGAUAAAGCCAUGCUGUCUGUCUCAGAUCACCCGCUCAUCUCUCAUGUGCCAUGUGUCUUCCAGGAGGGACUGUUCCAUCAUCUUCCCUGGCACAAAGUCACCGGGGACUUCGCCUGACAGCCAGGACUUUUCAAAUAUGACAGGCAGCAGCUCGGCAGCCAGCUGUCUUAGGACCCUGGGAUGCAUGUCAUCCAGCACCAUGGACUUGUACACAGUCAAUCUUAUGAGCGGGUUUCAGACUUGCUCUAUCCUUAAAGUGAGUGGGAUUUUUC
ensembl:lncRNA